rnacentral:rRNA from 1 species
AACGUAGGAGGCGAGCGUUAUCCGGAUUUACUGGGCGUAAAGCGCACGCAGGUGGCCUGGUAAGUUGGCUGUGAAAGCUCCUGGCUUAACUGGGAGAGGUCGGUCAAGACUGCUGGGCUUGAGGUUGGGAGAGGGGUGUGGAAUUCCCGGUGUAGUGGUGGAAUGCGUAGAUAUCGGGAGGAACACCAGUGGCGAAGGCGGCACCCUGGCCCACACCUGACGCUGAGGUGCGAAAGCGUGGGGAGCAAAC